rnacentral:rRNA from 1 species
GGGUUGUGAGGUUAAGCGACUAAGCGUACACGGUGGAUGCCCUGGCAGUCAGAGGCGAUGAAGGACGUGCUAAUCUGCGAUAAGCGUCGGUAAGGUGAUAUGAACCGUUAUAACCGGCGAUUUCCGAAUGGGGAAACCCAGUGUGUUUCGACACACUAUCAUUAACUGAAUCCAUAGGUUAAUGAGGCGAACCGGGGGAACUGAAACAUCUAAGUACCCCGAGGAAAAGAAAUCAACCGAGAUUCCCCCAGUAGCGGCGAGCGAACGGGGAGGAGCCCAGAGCCUGAAUCAGUGUGUGUGUUAGUGGAAGCGUCUGGAAAGGCGCGCGAUACAGGGUGACAGCCCCGUACACAAAAAUGCACAUGCUGUGAGCUCGAUGAGUAGGGCGGGACACGUGGUAUCCUGUCUGAAUAUGGGGGGACCAUCCUCCAAGGCUAAAUACUCCUGACUGACCGAUAGUGAACCAGUACCGUGAGGGAAAGGCGAAAAGAACCCCGGCGAGGGGAGUGAAAAAGAACCUGAAACCGUGUACGUACAAGCAGUGGGAGCACGCUUAGGCGUGUGACUGCGUACCUUUUGUAUAAUGGGUCAGCGACUUAUAUUCUGUAGCAAGGUUAACCGAAUAGGGGAGCCGAAGGGAAACCGAGUCUUAACUGGGCGUUAAGUUGCAGGGUAUAGACCCGAAACCCGGUGAUCUAGCCAUGGGCAGGUUGAAGGUUGGGUAACACUAACUGGAGGACCGAACCGACUAAUGUUGAAAAAUUAGCGGAUGACUUGUGGCUGGGGGUGAAAGGCCAAUCAAACCGGGAGAUAGCUGGUUCUCCCCGAAAGCUAUUUAGGUAGCGCCUCGUGAAUUCAUCUCCGGGGGUAGAGCACUGUUUCGGCAAGGGGGUCAUCCCGACUUACCAACCCGAUGCAAACUGCGAAUACCGGAGAAUGUUAUCACGGGAGACACACGGCGGGUGCUAACGUCCGUCGUGAAGAGGGAAACAACCCAGACCGCCAGCUAAGGUCCCAAAGUCAUGGUUAAGUGGGAAACGAUGUGGGAAGGCCCAGACAGCCAGGAUGUUGGCUUAGAAGCAGCCAUCAUUUAAAGAAAGCGUAAUAGCUCACUGGUCGAGUCGGCCUGCGCGGAAGAUGUAACGGGGCUAAACCAUGCACCGAAGCUGCGGCAGCGACACUGUGUGUUGUUGGGUAGGGGAGCGUUCUGUAAGCCUGUGAAGGUGUGCUGUGAGGCAUGCUGGAGGUAUCAGAAGUGCGAAUGCUGACAUAAGUAACGAUAAAGCGGGUGAAAAGCCCGCUCGCCGGAAGACCAAGGGUUCCUGUCCAACGUUAAUCGGGGCAGGGUGAGUCGACCCCUAAGGCGAGGCCGAAAGGCGUAGUCGAUGGGAAACAGGUUAAUAUUCCUGUACUUGGUGUUACUGCGAAGGGGGGACGGAGAAGGCUAUGUUGGCCGGGCGACGGUUGUCCCGGUUUAAGCGUGUAGGCUGGUUUUCCAGGCAAAUCCGGAAAAUCAAGGCUGAGGCGUGAUGACGAGGCACUACGGUGCUGAAGCAACAAAUGCCCUGCUUCCAGGAAAAUCCUCUAAGCAUCAGGUAACAUCAAAUCGUACCCCAAACCGACACAGGUGGUCAGGUAGAGAAUACCAAGGCGCUUGAGAGAACUCGGGUGAAGGAACUAGGCAAAAUGGUGCCGUAACUUCGGGAGAAGGCACGCUGAUAUGUAGGUGAAGCGACUUGCUCGUGGAGCUGAAAUCAGUCGAAGAUACCAGCUGGCUGCAACUGUUUAUUAAAAACACAGCACUGUGCAAACACGAAAGUGGACGUAUACGGUGUGACGCCUGCCCGGUGCCGGAAGGUUAAUUGAUGGGGUCAGCGCAAGCGAAGCUCUUGAUCGAAGCCCCGGUAAACGGCGGCCGUAACUAUAACGGUCCUAAGGUAGCGAAAUUCCUUGUCGGGUAAGUUCCGACCUGCACGAAUGGCGUAAUGAUGGCCAGGCUGUCUCCACCCGAGACUCAGUGAAAUUGAACUCGCUGUGAAGAUGCAGUGUACCCGCGGCAAGACGGAAAGACCCCGUGAACCUUUACUAUAGCUUGACACUGAACAUUGAGCCUUGAUGUGUAGGAUAGGUGGGAGGCUUAGAAGUGUGGACGCCAGUCUGCAUGGAGCCGACCUUGAAAUACCACCCUUUAAUGUUUGAUGUUCUAACGUUGACCCGUAAUCCGGGUUGCGGACAGUGUCUGGUGGGUAGUUUGACUGGGGCGGUCUCCUCCUAAAGAGUAACGGAGGAGCACGAAGGUUGGCUAAUCCUGGUCGGACAUCAGGAGGUUAGUGCAAUGGCAUAAGCCAGCUUGACUGCGAGCGUGACGGCGCGAGCAGGUGCGAAAGCAGGUCAUAGUGAUCCGGUGGUUCUGAAUGGAAGGGCCAUCGCUCAACGGAUAAAAGGUACUCCGGGGAUAACAGGCUGAUACCGCCCAAGAGUUCAUAUCGACGGCGGUGUUUGGCACCUCGAUGUCGGCUCAUCACAUCCUGGGGCUGAAGUAGGUCCCAAGGGUAUGGCUGUUCGCCAUUUAAAGUGGUACGCGAGCUGGGUUUAGAACGUCGUGAGACAGUUCGGUCCCUAUCUGCCGUGGGCGCUGGAGAACUGAGGGGGGCUGCUCCUAGUACGAGAGGACCGGAGUGGACGCAUCACUGGUGUUCGGGUUGUCAUGCCAAUGGCACUGCCCGGUAGCUAAAUGCGGAAGAGAUAAGUGCUGAAAGCAUCUAAGCACGAAACUUGCCCCGAGAUGAGUUCUCCCUGACCCUUUAAGGGUCCUGAAGGAACGUUGAAGACGACGACGUUGAUAGGCCGGGUGUGUAAGCGCAGCGAUGCGUUGAGCUAACCGGUACUAAUGAACCGUGAGGCUUAACCUUACAACGCCGAAG